CCUACGGGAGGCAGCAGUGGGGAAUUUUGGACAAUGGGCGCAAGCCUGAUCCAGCCAUGCCGCGUGUCUGAAGAAGGCCUUCGGGUUGUAAAGGACUUUUGUCAGGGAAGAAAAGGAGUUGGUUAAUACCCGACUCUGAUGACGGUACCUGAAGAAUAAGCACCGGCUAACUACGUGCCAGCAGCCGCGGUAAUACGUAGGGUGCGAGCGUUAAUCGGAAUUACUGGGCGUAAAGCGAGCGCAGACGGUUUGUUAAGCAGGAUGUGAAAUCCCCGGGCUCAACCUGGGAACUGCGUUCUGAACUGGCAGGCUAGAGUGUGUCAGAGGGGGGUAGAAUUCCACGUGUAGCAGUGAAAUGCGUAGAGAUGUGGAGGAAUACCGAUGGCGAAGGCAGCCCCCUGGGAUAACACUGACGUUCAUGCUCGAAAGCGUGGGUAGCAAACAGGAUUAGAUACCCUGGUAGUCCACGCCCUAAACGAUGUCAAUUAGCUGUUGGGCAACUUGAUUGCUUAGUAGCGUAGCUAACGCGUGAAAUUGACCGCCUGGGGAGUACGGUCGCAAGAUUAAAACUCAAAGGAAUUGACGG
rnacentral:rRNA from 1 species